CUGGGAAUCUUGCGCUAUGGGCGAAAGCCCGACGCAGCGACACCGCGUGAAGGAUGAAGGCCUUCGGGUUGUAAACUUCUGUUAAAUAGCACCGGCUAACUACGUGCCAGCAGCUGCGGUAAGACGUAGGGUGCAAGCGUUAUCCGGAUUUACUGGGCGUGAAGAGUUCGUAGGCGGAAAGGUAGGUUGUUGGUUAAAGCCUCCGGCUCAACCGGGGAAAAGCUGGCAAAACCGCCUUUCUUGUCCUCUGCAGGGGGUGCUGGAACUUACCAUGUAGGAGUGAAAUCUGUUGAUAUGGUAAGGAACGCCAACGGCGAAGGCGGGCACCUGGGCAGUAGGAGACGCUGAGGAACGAAAGCUAGGGGAGCGAACCGG
rnacentral:rRNA from 1 species